rnacentral:rRNA from 1 species
GACGAACGCGCGGCGUGCGUAACACAUGCAUGUCGUACGAGAGAGUGAGAGAAGCUUGCUUUUCUUACGAUCGAGUGGCAAACGGGUGAGUAACGCGUAAACAACUGCCCCGCAGAUGGGGACAACAGCUGGAAACGGCUGCUAAUACCGAAUACGCUCCUCUUACCGCAUGGUAAGAGGAAAAAGGGUGGCCUCUGGAACAAGCUACCGCUGUGGGAGGGGUUUGCGUCUGAUUAGCUGGUUGGAGGGGUAACGGCCCACCUAAGGCGAGAUCAGUACCCGGUCUGAGAGGAUGAACGGCCACAUUGGAACUGAGACACGGUCCAGACUCCUACUGGGAGGCAGCAGUGGGGAAUCUUCCGCAAUGGGCGAAAGCCUGACGGAGCAACGCCGCGUGAGUGAAGACGGCCUUCGGGUUGUAAAGCUCUGUUAUAGGGGACGAACGGCCGGGUAGCG